GUGGGGAAUCUUGCGCAAUGGGCGAAAGCCUGACGCAGCCAUGCCGCGUGAAUGAUGAAGGUCUUAGGAUUGUAAAAUUCUUUCACCGGGGACGAUAAUGACGGUACCCGGAGAAGAAGCCCCGGCUAACUUCGUGCCAGCAGCCGCGGUAAUACGAAGGGGGCUAGCGUUGUCCGGAUUUAUUGGGUUUAAAGGGUGCGUAGGCUGGAAGGUCAGUCAGCGGUGAAAAGCUGUCGCUUAACGAUAGUCGUGCCGCAGAUACUUCCUUUCUUGGAUGAGGAGGAGGCCACUGGAACGGAUGGUGUAGCGGUGAAAUGCAUAGAUAUCAUCCAGAACACCGAUUGCGAAGGCAGGUGGCUGUACCUUAAUCGACGCUGAUGCACGAAAGCAUGGGGAGCAAACAGGAUUAGAAACCCGGGUAGUCC
rnacentral:rRNA from 1 species